UGAACGCUGGCGGCAGGCUUAACACAUGCAAGUCGAGGGGCAGCACUUGUAGCAAUACAUGGUGGCGACCGGCGCAAGGGUGCGUAACGCGUGAGCAACAUGCCCGUAUCAGGGGGAUAAUCCAGGGAAACUUGGUCUAAUACCCCAUAGCAAUUAUUUGAGGCAUCUUAAAUAAUUUAAAGCUUUGGUGGAUACGGAUUGGCUCGCGUGACAUUAGCUAGAUGGUAAGGUAACGGCUUACCAUGGCUACGAUGUCUAGGGGUUCUGAGAGGAAGAUCCCCCACACUGGAACUGAGACACGGUCCAGACUCCUACGGGAGGCAGCAGUGAGGAAUAUUGGACAAUGGAUGGAAAUCUGAUCCAGCCAUGCCGCGUGCAGGAAGACGGCCCUAUGGGUUGUAAACUGCUUUUGUGUGGGAGCAAUGAGGUCUAUGCGUAGACUGAUGAGAGUACCAUACGAAUAAGCAUCGGCUAACUCCGUG
rnacentral:rRNA from 1 species